UGGGGAAUUUUGGACAAUGGGCGAAAGCCUGAUCCAGCAAUGCCGCGUGUGUGAAGAAGGCCUUCGGGUUGUAAAGCACUUUUGUCCGGAAAGAAAUGGCUCUGGUUAAUACCUGGGGUCGAUGACGGUACCGGAAGAAUAAGGACCGGCUAACUACGUGCCAGCAGCCGCGGUAAUACGUAGGGUCCAAGCGUUAAUCGGAAUUACUGGGCGUAAGGCGUGCGCAGGCGGUUGUGCAAGACCGAUGUGAAAUCCCCGAGCUUAACUUGGGAAUUGAAUUGGUGGCUGCACGGCUAGAGUGUGUCAGAGGUGGGUAGAAUUCCACGUGUAGCAGUGAAAUGCGUAGAGAUGUAGAGGAAUACCGAUGGCGAAGGCAGCCCGCUGGGGUAACACUGACGCUCAUGCACGAAAGCGUGGGGAGCAAACAGG
rnacentral:rRNA from 1 species